ACGCUCGACACCUACGGGGGCAGCAGUAGGGAAUCUUCCACAAUGGACGCAAGUCUGAUGGAGCAACGCCGCGUGAGUGAAGAAGGUCUUCGGAUCGUAAAACUCUGUUGUUAGAGAAGAACACGAGUGAGAGUAACUGUUCAUUCGAUGACGGUAUCUAACCAGCAAGUCACGGCUAACUACGUGCAAGCAGCCGCGGUAAUCUGAGCGGGCUGGCAAGGC
rnacentral:rRNA from 1 species